AAUUUAAAACCUAGAUUAUUAGUAGUUAAGUUCUUGAAAAUUAAUAAAGAUGGCGGUAUUUUAGUCUAUUCAGAGGAACCUGCCCUGUAAUUGAUAUUCCACGAUUUAAUUUACUUGGGUUUUAAGCUUAUAUAUCGCUGUGUAUAGAAUAUUUUUGUUGAAUUAAAAUGUUCAUAAUGUUUUUUGAAAGGAAAUCAAGUCAAGAUGUAGCUUAUAUCUAAGAAGAGGUGGGUUACAGUGCUUAUAUUUUUGGUUAAUAUUUUGUAAUGAUUAUUAUAAAUUGGAUUUGAUAGUAAUUUUUUAUUAAGAUUUAAAAGAUGAUUAUAGCUCUA
rnacentral:rRNA from 1 species